CAGCACGUGACCUACAAAAAGAAAAACAAGAAGAAGAAAAAACAGGAUUGUUAUGCGGCUACUGAACAGAUAAAUAUCUUUAAGAAAUAUGCCAGUUUUUGAACACGUUAUGGGACGUCCCAAAUUAAGUAGGCUACUAUUGAAGGAGGGUGUAAACAUUUUUUUUUUUUUGCUACAGAUUAAACGUGCUCUGCUGGAUUCAGACGAAAAAAGUGUGUUUCUGUGGACAUUGCUUUAAUUCAUCGUCGUGGAUCUUAAAGCUAAUAAUACGGUGCUUAUUUUUUAUUUACUGCAGUUUGUUCGGCAAAACACAGAAAAGAAGGAAAAAUUAGAGGAGACAAAUGAAGAGGAGGAGGGAUGAACAUUCACAAGCCAGAGGAUCAAAACCAGCAAAUGCGGAGAAUAUUGUUAAAAGGAACAGUAUGGAACUUAUUGCGACUCCGAACUUGUCUCAUGAUGCAGACAGACCAGAGAGACAUUUUGAUGUAUCAGAAUCAAAGACGAGCAGAUCAUCUGAACACCAACCAGACAAACCUCUAUGAAUCUCUCACAUUUCUUCAAAUUGAGCUGGAAUAGAGGCCUGGCUCCAUCCAAUCAGGAGCUGUUUCGGCAGCUUGGUAUUAAAAAUCCACAUGUUUAUUUAGAAAGUAGAAAGCAUGUAAGUCUUGUCAGUUUACUGUUUACAGCAAAGGAAUUUUCCAUAUUGAUUUUUUACAGGUGUUUUAUUUUGCAUGUCAUUGAAUUGUGUUUUAGGGUUAAUGGAAAUGUCUGUAAAAUUAAUGGAUAAUGUCUUAGCAGAAAAUUGAAUAUUACUAGUAUAUUUUCCGUAGUUUUUUUAUUUUUUAUUUUAACAGUGUUUUCGCUGUUUUCUGUGCACACAGAGAGCACAUAUCAGACAUUAUUACUGAACUGAUCUUAACUGAGUUACAAUAAAAUGUCUUAAAGAGUGUAAGUUGGGAGAAAAACCAGAGACAACAGCUUCGUAAACCUGCUGCUGUCUUGUUGUCAUUAAUGUUUAUUGGGAAAAAAACAAAUGCUUUGCAUUAAUAUUGACUUAAUUUAUUUAUACCUUUAAUAAGGAUUAAGCUAUAUUUAAUUUAUCAUUAUAGUAUUUCAUACCUGAAAACUACUGCUGCACAGCUAAAAGCACAGUUUUCUUUCAUUUGUAUCCUUGUUCAAUUGUAUUUAUUUGCACUAUCGCUCGUAAUUUGUUCAUUAAUUGUUCUUCUUUUAUUACUGACUGUUUACUUGUCUUUUUUUCUCUUUCUUAUUUUAUUUUAUUUUAUUGCCCACCGGGAAUGUUCACUGGUCCCACCUUACAUGUAUUCAAAAUUAUUGUGUAUAUGUAAAUAUUGUGUAUACUGUAUGUACAAUCUGCUUUAGAAUUUUUUCAUAAAUGUGUAACUUUGUUGUAAAGAUGUAAAAUACAACUGCUGUAAAUUGAUGUGUAGUGCCACAGGAUGAAGUAUCAAAUAUGACAAAUGCUCUUUUUUACAGGUCACGUGAUUAAAGACAGAAAGUUUUCCGGUCUGUUGAUGAUAACACACAUCACGUGUAACUAGUGUAUGUUUCUAUACUUUAUCAUAAAUCUGAUUUUAAGCCUUUUAGAGAAGUAUGUGUCACAGAGAGUCUUUGCUAUAAAAAAAAAAAAAAACUGAUGACAGCUAUAAAUAAAUAGCUUACUUUUUAGAAAAAUGUGUUGUUAUUUCUCACUGAUUGCAUGCUUCAUGACAGUGAUAAAGGAUGAAAUAUCUGAUAAUUCUACAGCUGAUAAUUUCUUUAUUAAAUUAUCAUUAUUUAUUAUCAGUACAAAAACAAACUGUUUAAAUUAUUCACCAAAUCACAAAGUGAGGCUGAGGACCGCAACUAUCUGAUUAUUCAGCCAAAAAUAAAAUCUUACCAUCAUUU